UAGGGAAUCUUCCGCAAUGGACGCAAGUCUGACGGAGCAACGCCGCGUGAGUGAAGAAGGAUUUCGGUUCGUAAAACUCUGUUGUUAGAGAAGAACAGCGCAUAGAGUAACUGUUAUGCGUGUGACGGUAUCUAACCAGAAAGCCACGGCUAACUACGUGCCAGCAGCCGCGGUAAUACGUAGGUCCCGAGCGUUGUCCGGAUUUAUUGGGCGUAAAGCGAGCGCAGGCGGUUAGAUAAGUCUGAAGUUAAAGGCAGUGGCUCAACCAUUGUAGGCUUUGGAAACUGUUUAACUUGAGUGCAGAAGGGGAGAGUGGAAUUCCAUGUGUAGCGGUGAAAUGCGUAGAUAUAUGGAGGAACACCGGUGGCGAAAGCGGCUCUCUAGUCUGUAACUGACGCUGAGGCUCGAAAGCGUGGGGAGCGAACAGG
rnacentral:rRNA from 1 species